UACAGAGGUCUCGAGCGUUAGGCGGAAUCACUGGGCUUUAAGCGUGUGUAGGUGGAUCGUUAAGUACCUUGUGAAAUCCCACGGCUUAACCGUGGAACUGCUUAGUAUACUGGCGGUCUCGAGCCACUUAGGGGCUACCGGAACAAAUGGUGGAGCGGUGAAAUGCGUAGAUAUCAUUUGGAACGCCAAUGGUGAAAACAGGUAGCUGGGAGUGUGCUGACACUGAGACACGAAAGCCAGGGGAGCAAACGGG
rnacentral:rRNA from 1 species